rnacentral:rRNA from 1 species
UUCCCAUUCCGAACAGAGAAGUUAAGCCUGUUAGCGCCGAUGGUACUACGUAAAAGUGGGAGAGUAGGUCGCCGCCGAUC